rnacentral:rRNA from 1 species
UCAAGUUAUUAAGGGUGCAGGGCGAAUGCCUUGGCACUAGGAGCCGAUGAAGGACGUGAUAAGCUGCGAUAAGCUUCGGGGAGUUGCACGUAAACUUUGAUCCGAAGAUUUCCGAAUGAGGAAACUCACUUAGAGUAAUGUCUAAGUAUCGUAUGAUGAAUACAUAGUCAUGCGAGGGGAACCCGGAGAACUGAAACAUCUAAGUACCCGGAGGAAGAGAAAGAAAUUCGAUUCCGUAAGUAGCGGCGAGCGAACGCGGAACAGGCCAAACCAGUGAAGUUUUCUUCGCUGGGGUUGCGGACAUAUCAUAACGAAGAGGUAUCGUAGAAGAAGAGAGUUGGAAAGCUCCGCCAUAGAUGGUAACAGCCCAGUAUUUUAAACGAGAAGACUUUAGAUAUGAUCCAGAGUACCACGGGACACGUGAAACCCUGUGGGAAGCAGGAGGGACCAUCCUCCAAGCCUAAAUACUACCUAGUGACCGAUAGCGUAUAGUACCGUGAGGGAAAGGUGAAAAGAACCCCGGGAGGGGAGUGAAAGAGAACCUGAAACCCUGCACUUACAAGCUGUAGGAGCACAUUAUUUGUGUGACUGCGUACUUUUUGUAGAACGGGCCAACGAGUUACGUUGUGUAGCAAGGUUAAGCACUUAAGGUGUGGAGCCGUAGCGAAAGCGAGUCUUAAAUGGGCGUCCAGUUACCCGACGUAGACCCGAAACCAGGCGACCUAUCCAUGAGCAGGUUGAAGCGAAAGUAAAAUUUCGUGGAGGACCGAACCCACGUACGUUGAAAAGUGCGGGGAUGACUUGUGGAUAGCGGUGAAAUUCCAAUCGAGCCUGGAGAUAGCUGGUUCUCCCCGAAAUAGCUUUAGGGCUAGCCUCAAGCUUAGAGAAACGGAGGUAGAGCACUGAAUGUCCUAGGGGGUAUUGCACUUACCGAAGACUAUCAAACUCCGAAUGCCGUAUUCUUUUGCUUGGGAGUCAGACUAUGGGUGAUAAGAUUCAUAGUCAAGAGGGCAACAGCCCAGAUCGUCAGCUAAGGUCCCUAAAUGUAAGUUAAGUGGUAAAGGAUGUGGAAUUGCACAGACAACCAGGAUGUUGGCUUAGAAGCAGCCACUCAUUUAAAGAGUGCGUAAUAGCUCACUGGUCGAGUGAUCCUGCGCCGAAAAUUUCCGGGGCUAAAACGUACUACCGAAGCUACGGCAUCAUUAUGAUGGGUAGGGGAGCUUUCUAUGCGGCUUGAAGCAUGACCGUAAGGACAUGUGGACUGCAUAGAAGUGAGAAUGUUGGCAUGAGUAGCGAGAUGUGGGUGAGAAUCCCACAGGCCGUAAACCCAAGGUUUCCAGGGGAAGGUUCGUCCGCCCUGGGUUAGUCAGGACCUAAGCCGAGGCCGAAAGGCGUAGGUGAUGGACAACAGGUUGAUAUUCCUGUACCACCAAUAACCGUUUGAGAAAUGGGAUGACACAGUAGGAUAAGCUAACCGCACUGUUGGUUAUGUGCGGGCAAGUAUUGAGGCAGUUCCGAUAGGCAAAUCCGUCGGAAUAAUGCUGGGGUACGAUGCGGAGCGAAAUUUAGUAGCGAAGUAGCUGAUUUCACACUGUCGAGAAAAGUCUCUAUCGAGGUUAAAGGUGCCUGUACCGCAAACCGACACAGGUGGGUGAGGAGAGUAUCCUAAGGCCAGCGAGAGAACUGUUGUUAAGGAACUCGGCAAAAUGACCCCGUAACUUAGGGAGAAGGGGUGCCUUCGAAAGAAGGCCGCAGAGAAUAGGCCCAAGCGACUGUUUACCAAAAACAUAGGUUUCUGCUAAGUCGCAAGACGAUGUAUAGGAGCUGACGCCUGCCCGGUGCUGGAAGGUUAAGGGGAUCUGUUAGAGCAAUCGAAGCAGUGAACUUAAGCCCCAGUAAACGGCGGCCGUAACUAUAACGGUCCUAAGGUAGCGAAAUUCCUUGUCGGGUAAGUUCC